AGUGAACGCUGGCGGCGUGCCUAAUACAUGCAAGUCGAACGGAGUGGCGCACGGGUGAGUAAUAUAUAGCUAAUCUGCCCCUUGCUGGGGGACAACAGUUAGAAAUGACUGCUAAUACUCCAUAGGAAGGGAUGAGACUAUAUCGUAUCAGCUAGUCGGUGGGGUAAGGGCGUACCGAGGCUAUGACGCGUAACCGGUCUGGGAGGAUGAUGAGUCACGUUCGAACUGAGACACGGUCGCAGCACCUACGGGAGGCGGCCGUAGGGAAUAUUGCGCAAGGGGCGAAGCCCUGACGCAGAAACGCCGCGUGGAGUUUGACACUUUUCGGAGCGUAAACUCCUUUUGUUAGGGAAGCGGUAGCUAACGAAUAAGCACCGGCUAACUCCGUGCCAGCAGCCGCGGUAAUUC
rnacentral:rRNA from 1 species